UAUAUUAACAUCUCUAACAUCCUUUUCCUCUACAUCUAAUACUCCAAUUCUUUUUCAGCUGGUAAGGCAUGAAGUUCUUCUGCUGCUUUCCAUUUUCAAUUUCUCUGCCAAAGCUUUAAACUUUUUCAAUCUAGAUUUAGUUGCUACUCUGUUUGACUGCAUCUCGCAUUAACUAUUUUUUUUUCCUUUUCAAUUAAGUAUAUAUUUUUUUCUCACGAAACUGAUGAUGAUUUAGUAUGGUUAUUCUACGUCUUCUGUUGUUGCCUUGCUUCCGUGCCACUGUAAGGGGCCAUUUGGUUAGAUGUAAUUAUAAAUAUAGUGUAGUUAGAGAUGCAUGCAGUUGAAAAUACAGCAGUUACAACUACAUGAAUCUUGUUUGGCUGGAUGUAGUAGAAAGCGCUGUAAGUAUAAAUAAUUUGUUUGGUUACAUAUAGUUGAAAAAUAAUUUUUAAAAUUUUAUCAUUUUAUAUAUAUGAUGGUGAGAUUACCUCCAAUGUCAAAAAGAAAAAUAAUUUUUGUUUAAAAAAUAUUGAGGAGGUAAGCAUACUUUUUAUAUAAAGUUACUCUCUCCAACUGCUGCAAUUGGAACUGCGGCCAAUUUGGGCGUAGUUCGAACUGCUGCAUUUGGGCCUCCUCCUGCAGUUCCUACUGCAGCAGUUGGAGUUAAAUACAUCAAACCAAACACAAAAUUCGUAUUUACAUGUAGUUACAACUGUAGUGUAGUUGCAACUGCAUGCAACCAAACGGUCCCUAAGUCGUAAUGCAACUCUCUACUCCUGUAAGCUCUUAUUUUAGUGAUUUUCUGCUUACACGAAAAGGAUAUAUUACCUAUUUUUACACAGCCUUUGCUUUGAAUGUCUACAUUGACUAUUUUUUCUUCUUUUGAUUAACGAUGUUCUUUUUGUCCUAGAAAACUGAUGAUAAUUUAGUGCGGUUGUUCUACAUCUAUUUACUAUUCCCUUGCUUCUAUAUUACUGUAAGUCCUAAUGCAGCUCUGUACUCCUGUAAAACUCUUAAUUUUAGUGAUUUUUUCUGCUUACAUGAAAAGAUUGAGGGUGUGUUUGGUUUGAAGUCGGAAUUAGUAUCGGAAUCGGAAUGAAAAUAAGCUGGAAAUGAAAUCAGAAUAAUUUAUUAUCUCAUUAUGUUUGUUUCGUCACUUGAAUCAGAAUCGGAAUAACCAUUCCCAUUAUCGGUGUUUGGUUUAGAUAAAUAUCGAAAACGUAAUCAAAUUAAUAUGUCAAUUUUAAGUUAAUAAUAUAUUAGUUUAAAUUCAAACUGAAAAUUAAAUAUUAAAAAUUUACGUCAAAAUUUUAAAAUGAUGUCAAAAUUUUAAAUAUAUUUGUUAAAAAAAUUAAAAAUUAAAAUUGAAUGAAUAAUUCAAAAUAUAAAACUAAAUUUCGAUUUAUUUAAAUUCAAACUUAAAAUUAUAACUUAAUGUCACGCCCCGGGGCUCAGCGGAAGCCCGCCCGGCACGUGCACAGACCCGCCAUACGUCUAAAACAUAUAAGGUGUCUAAAACAAAACGAUAAAUGAGACAAUAAAAGAAAACAACUAGAAGUAUCAGAGCAAUAUACAUCAUCUAGGGACUAAAUCAAUGUGAAAAGUAGAGAGCUAAAAUCACUAAAUAAACCAUCAAGUAGUACAAUCAAAGAUUCAAAUAAAAGAACUAAAAGAGUACAUAGGUGGUCUCUAUACAUGGUAAACAAAAUCUCUCGCUCUCCCAAAACAUAAAAAGAGGGAAAACCACCUAAGAGUAACAGUAAGUCCUCGCUAUCUACCUAGCGAUCCCGUGCCUCCGCCGGUGCAGAGGGCUCUGAAAAGAAAACAUAAAACAGAAGGCGUGAGAACUAUUAAUUAAUAGUUCCCAGUGGGCAAUUACUGACUUCAGUGAAAUGCACCACUAGGCCCAAACUGAGCAAGUAAGGUAAGUAAGGCAGGUAAGAAUAAUAUGAACAAAUAACUCACUGAAAUGGAACUCAAUAUAGCAUGAAGUCACUACUUUCAUCAGUAAUAUUCUACCACGUGAUCUCUACUUAGCAUGGAUUUGCAUAAGUAAUAAUCUAUCACAUGAUCUCUACUUAGCAUGAAUUUGCAUAAGUAAGAAAGCAACUACUACAAGUAUGUGCACGAGAGUAUCCAACAUGUAAAUGCAUAAGUAUGCAACUAACCCAAUAUCCACAAUGAAAAUAGUAAAGAUGUCAUUGUUUACUAUUCUAUUCAAUGUCCAAAAAGGUACAAUAUAUCACCAGUAACCCAAUCCUGUGGAAGCUACCCGUAGGUAGUCCGGCCUGCGCCGUGCCAACAAUGGCCCCGUGGUAGUCAACAUCCCCACUCUAGGAAUGAGCCUCCCCCACGGCAUCCCAUUUUGGCGCCCAAUCCCGCACGGGCAAGCAUAUGUCGCGAUGGCUAUCUCCGGAGUGCCGACUUGUAGGGAGCGACCCUCACAAGUAUGUGCGAAUGAGCAUAAUGACAUGCAAGCGAAUAAGUCCGUCUCAAGUCCCAGUGGUUCAUCACUGUUUCAUCGGAUCUAAAAUCCGGAAUACAGCACAUGUCCCAAAGGCCUGCCUCUAUGUCAUCGUGUCUAAAACACGGAAUAUAGUAACUGUCUCAAUGGCCUAUCUCUAUCUCGUCAUAUCUAAAAUAUGGAAUAUAGUAGAUUUUCAGUGGCCUAUCAUCAUGUCUCUAAGUUGAAGUUCAACAAUUUUCUAGUUCAAGUGCCCCUUUAUGACACUUUUGCUUACUAUGUCCCAAUAUGAAUAAUAAGUCUAAAAGCUUGUUAUUCAAAUCAUUUUCCACACAAGAAACAUGAUCUUACAUCAUUCAAUAGAACAUUAAACUCAUGCAUACUAGCAAUGCAUAUGCUUCUGUCUACAACAUAGAGUCAAUUUUGUUCAUGAUGCAUAACAUAGGGGUUUUAAGCGUUCUACAAUUCAUAUAAUUUUCAUUUAACAUGAAUAUACAUGUAAUUAUAGUAUACGAAAAUAUUUAACCACAUAGGAGGCAUUUCCUCCCAUUUCAAUGAAGCUAAACCCACCAAAGUCUUCGCGGCGUGUCAUAACCUCCGACGAAGUUGCCCGCUACUCUCCUAGCACCCUAAAGGCAUAGAAAUGAGAGUUAAACGGACCUUACGAACAAAGUUAAGCUCAAACAUUAAGCUAUCUAAGCUAAGGUGAAGAAACCCACCGUACGCAAAGGAAUCUCUCUCGAUCUCCAAAAGGGAGCUUGAGUCCUUCAAAUCCAACCUAAAUCAAAGUUCUAAACCAAUCAAUUUGGUUCUAGAAGCUACAAAUCCAAAAUCCCCAAUCCUAACCCUAAAAUCCAAAAUCUAGGGUUUCCACUGGCAAAAUCUAUCAAAACAUGUAUCAAAAGGAGAAUACAUGUUACUAACCUCUCAAGACGCUCCAAAUCAAGCUCAAAGUCCUCUAGGGUUGAAGUUUGAUCCUCAAUCAAGAUCCAAUCCCGAAAUCCAAGCUUCUCCCAUGGAGGAAUCCAACAAGAAGCAAAGAAGAGCAAAGGGAAAAAGAUCAAAACCCACAAAAAUCCAUCAAAAAAUGGAAAAGAACUCAAGAGGGGGAGUUCUCACCUUGUUCUCCACUGGUCUAGGGCUCAAAACCUUGUCUAAAGGGGCUGGGGUAACAUAUAUAGGUGUUGUAACAAUUGCAAAAACAACCCUGCCCGAAAACUGCUCGCACUGCACUGUGUACCGGUACACGGGCUCGCGUACCGGUACAACACCUGCGAAACAGCCAAACACGAGCCUCGGGUUUGCACGAAAUCCGUCUGUGUACCGGUACACCAGCCCCGUACCGGUACAACCAUCAGCGCAUACCGGUACAGCCAUCAGCCCCGUACCGGUACACAGCCCUGCUGAUGCUAUCCGAGAGCUGACCAAAAAUCCGAAUUUUUGAAUUUUGGUGCUAGGUUUUAAACCUCCAAUCUCGGGGUUCGAACCAUGGGUCGCAACACUGUCAACGACCCUCCACGAAGUGUGGAAAGGCUCAGAACACGAAACAAACACUCGAACCUUGCAAUUUGAAAAGGUCCAGUGCGUCACAUUCACCCCUCCUAAAAAGGAGUUUCGUUCGCGAAACUCGAAAGCAACGUACCUCAAGACUCUAUCUGAAAAAGAUAAGGAUAACGCUCAAGCAAGGCGCUCUCAAGCUCCCACGUGGCCUCUCGCUCCCCGUGGUUGCUCCAAAGGACCUUCACAUACGGAAUAUCCCGAUUCCGCAGCUUCUUCACCUUGCGAGCCAAAAUCUUCACUAGUUGCUCCUCGAAGCUCAAAUCCUCAGGCAGCUCCACUGGUAAAGCAUCCAAAACGUGAGAUGGAUCAUGAAUGUAUCUCUGAAGGACCGACACAUGAAAGACGUUGUGCACGCCCGAUAGAUUCGGUGGUAGGGCAAGUCGAUAUGCUACCGGGCCUACACGUUCCAAAAUCUCAUACGGUCGAAUGAAACGGGGGCUCAACUUACCCCGAAUUCCGAAUCUCUUAAUCUCUCUAGUCGGCGAGACUUUCAAGAAAACAUAGUCUCCAACUUGAAACUCUAAGUCUCGCCGUCGACGGUCGGCGUAGCUCCUCUGUCUACUCUGCGCUGUCAAAUGUCGCUCCCGAGCAAUUCGAACUUUAUCCUCAGCUUUCUGGAGCACAUCUGGUCCCAAGGCCAAUCUCUCGCCAACCUCACUCCAAUGAAGUGGCGAUCUACACUUCCGUCCAUAAAGUGCUUUGAACGGUGCCAUCUUGAUGCUUGCUUGAUAACUAUUGUUAUAAGCAAACUCCGCCAUAGGUAGAUGCUGCAACCAUCCUCCCUAAAAGUUUAUCACACAAGCUCGGAGCAUAUCCUCUAAAGUCUGUAUGGUGAGCUCCGACUGCCCAUCACUCUGAGGGUGGAAAGCAGUGCUAAAAUCCAGUCGAGUGCCUAGGGCGUCCUGUAGACUCCUCCAAAAGUGAGACACAAACCGGGUGUCUCGAUCUGAUACAAUCGACGUGGGCACUCCAUGAAGUCAUACAAUCUCAUCAAGGUACACUUGUGCGAGCUUCUCCCCAGUCCAAGUAGUAUGAAUAGGUACAAAGUGCGCCGACUUCGUCAACCUAUCCACGAUCACCCAAAUAGCAUCAUGCCCGGCCUGAGAGCGGGGCGAUCCAGUCACGAAAUCUAUGGUGAUCUUCUCCCACUUCCACACGAGGAUAGACAAAUCUAAAGUUUUCCCGUGGGAACUCGGUGCUCAGCCUUUACUUGUUGGCAAGUUAGACAACGAGCUACAAACUCGCCAACAUUCUUUUUCAUCCCGGGCCACCAAUAAAGCAACUUCAAGUCCUUGUACUUCUUGGUGCCUCCCGGAUGUAUAGUGUAGGGCGCUCGGUGCGCUUCUUGAAGAAUAUCCUCUUUAAUUUCCAAAUUCGCCUGUACACAAAUCUGUCCACGGAAACGCAUCAACCCUUGGUCAUCCACAAGAAAAUCGCCGGUGCAACCAUUAACCAUUUUACCUUUAAUCUUUUGCAACUCCAUAUUGGAAGUUUGCUUUUCUUUAAUUCGAUCGAAAAGUGUAGGUUGCACCACCAACGUCAUCAACCUCAAAGGCGUGUCCGGAGUCACUACCUCCAACUCCAACCGCUUCAUCUGCUCGAUCAACUGCGGUUGAGUCACAACAUGCAUCGCUAAGUUUUCUGUCGAUUUCCUAUUUAGCGCAUCAGCCACCACGUUAACCUUGCCCGGGUGGUAUAGAAUCGUCAGGUCGUAAUCCUUUAGCAGCUCCAACCACCUGCGCUGUCUCAAAUUCAACUCCUUCUGAGUAAACAGGUAUUUUAAGCUCUUGUAAUCCGUGUAUACUUCACAUCGCUCGCCAUAAAGAUAGUGGCGCCAUAGCUUCAAUGCGAAAACUACGGCCGCCAAUUCCAAAUCAUGCGUCGGAUAGUUCUUUUCAUAUUCCUUUAGUUGGCACGAAGCAUACGCGAUCACCUUGCCAUCCUGUAUCAACACACAACCUAAUCUAUUAAGUGAAGCAUCACUAUAAACCACAUACCCUGCUCCAGCCAUUGGCAGGGUUAGGAUCGGGGCGGUCGUCAAUCUUUACUUCAACUCUUGGAAGCUUCUCUCGCAUGUAUCAUUCCAAAUGAACUUGACUCCUUUAUGCGUGAGCCUCGUGAGGGGAGUAGACAGCUUGGCGAACCCCUCAACAAAUCUCCGGUAGUACCCGGCCAAUCCAAAGAAACUCCGAAUCUCCGUGACGCUCGUCGGUCUCGGCCAAUCCUUGAUUACUUCAAUCUUCUUAGGAUCCACAGCUAUACCCGAUCCUGAAAUCAAAUAUCCAAGAAAAGCUACCUCUCGAAGUCAAAAUUCGUACUUUUUCAGCUUGGCAUAGAGCUCCCUUUCCCGAAGUACCUGAAGUACAAGCCUCAAAUGUUCCUCGUGAUCUGCAUCACUUCGGGAAUAAACUAAAAUAUCGUCGACAAACACCACAACGAAUCUGUCUAGAUAUGGCUUAAAAAUAUGGUUCAUUAGAUUCAUAAAAGCUGCCGGGGCAUUAGUAAGCCCAAACGGCAUAACAGUGAACUCAUAAUGUCUAUACCGUGUUCUGAAAGCCGUCUUCGAUACAUCCUCGGGUUUGAUCUUUAACUGGUGGUAUUCCGACAGCAAAUCGAUCUUAGAAUACACACACGAUCCCUGAAGCUAGUCAAACAAGUCGUCGAUCCUCGGCAAUGAAUACUUAUUCUUGAUCGUGACUUUAUUAAGUUCACGAUAGUCUACGCAUAGGCGAAGUGAUCCGUCCUUUUUCUUGACGAACAAAACUGGUGCUCCCCAAGGUGAGACGCUCGGUUGAAUGAAGCCUUUAUCCAGAAGGUCAUGUAAUUGUGUCCUCAGCUCCUUCAGCUCCGCCGAUGCCAUCCUAUAGGGUGCCUUCGAGAUUGGAGUAGUCCCAGGGACGAGGUCUACCACAAACUCGAUCUCCCUAUCAGGUGGCAUACCCGGUAGCUCAACUGGAAACACGUCACAAAACUCCCGCACCACCGGAAUAUCCUAAAUCCUAGGGAUAUCACCCUCGCCCCUCAACACAACACUAGCCAAGUAGGCUAUACAACCUCUGCCGAUUAGCUGCCUAGCUCGAGACGAGCUGAUCGUCAUCGCAAAAAGCGAACUCUGGCAUCCUCUAAAUAUCACCUCAACUUGCCCCGGUUCUCUAAAAGUAACCGUGCGAUUCUUGCAAUCAAUCGUGGUGUAAUACUUGGUUAACCAAUCCAUGCCUAAGACCACAUCAAACUCCCCCAGCUUACGCAAGACUAGCAAGUCCACGGGCAUAAUCCAAUCUCCUACCCGAAUAGGGCAACUGGGGCAAUACUCUCUAAUAUCCAAGGAGUGGUCGGGGACAACUACACGUCCCGGAUGCAACAAAGAAAGCAUAGGGAUGCCAUGCAACUCGGCAAACAGCCGAUCUAUGAAUAAAUGCGAUGCACCGGUAUCAAAUAAUGCACGAACUCUAAUGCCAUCAAGUAAAAUGAUACCUGCGACCACAUCCUCGGCUGCUGCCGCCUCCUCGGUCUGAGCGGCAUACAUACGCCCACUCGGGGCCUGUCGAGAACCCUCGCUCUGGCGCUAGACGGGUGGCCGCCCAGGCUAGUACUGCGCCGAUGGAUUCCCCUUGCUGGCGGCUGGUAGAGCCGGUGCCGAUGCAGUCGAUGGUGCCGGUGACGAUCUCUUCGGGCACUCAGUCUGGAAGUGGCCCUCCUGGCCACACAAGUAGCACCUUCCGCCCCGCUGUGGACACUGUGGUGGAGUGUGAGGACCACCGCAGAUCAUGCACUGGGGAGGUCGGCGUCGAUCAGGACCUCCUCGCUGCGCUGUCGGGCCGCGCCCACGCUGCUGGCUCCUAGGGUGUUUCGGCGGCCUCCUAGAGUGCGUCUGGCUCGCAUCCUCCACUGCAGGCCUCUUGGCCUUACUCCUGUCCAAGCCCUCUUGCCGCUCCUGCAUCUCUGCCGUGCCGCUCUCCACGAUGAGCGCGCGAUCCACCACCUCCCGGUAGGUUUGGAGGUUAGAGGAUUGCACGAACCGGAAGAUCGACGGUCGCAACCCCCACUCGAAGAUGCGGGCCUUGUCCUCGUCGUCCCGUACGACGAAAGACACGCAGUGAAGAAACCGAGAAAACUCCCUCUCCUACUCGGCCACAGUGCGAUCUCCCUGGCGCAAGCUGCGCAGGUCCUGCUCCAUCUUCCUCUUGACCCUGGUCGGGAAGUAGUGCGCCAACAGAAGCUCCUUAAACUUCUUCCAUGUAAUAGCCGCCAAAUCGGUGCUGGGGUUCUCCUGAAGAUCCAACCACCAGCGAUAGGCCUCGCCGUCCAGAUGGUGAGUGGCGAGCCAAACUCGAUCUCUCUCCUCCACGAAGGUGUUGCGGAAGAGCUUCUCCAUAUGUAUCAACCACUUUUCCACGAUCCAAUGGUGGACCUUCUCGCCGUCGAAGAUCCGGGGACCGCACCUCCUGAACUCGUUGAGGCGCUCCAUCAGUCGGUCCCGCUCCGCCCCCUCAACCAUCAUGGGGAAAACAUCUCCAAUCGGGGGUGCCUGAAUAGGUGGCACCGCAAAACCCUCCUCCUGAGGCGCGGCCACGGACGCCGUACGCGACGAGCUGGGCGCAGGGGACGGCGCUCUCUGCGCGACGUCCACAACUGGUGCUGGCGGUGUAGGGGCCUGGGUCUCCCUGGAAGCUGCCGCCUGCUGCAGAAGAAGGUCCUCCAGGCGCUUUAUCCCCGCCUCCUGUCGGCGUGCCGCAUCGGCCUGCUGUUGGGCUGCCGCCGCCUGCUAAGCCACGAGAUCAGUAAGGGUCGCAAGCUGGCUCCUCAACUCACAGAGGUAGCGGAGGUCUCGACCUCCUCCAGGUUUGCCGCAUUAUCAGCUCCAGCAGAUUGAGAGCGUGUAAUCGGCAUCGUCACUACAACAUCAUAAAAGCGUAAGUUAGUAAAACCCACUCUAUCGCAUCCCCGCUCAAAUAGACAAUGCCCAAAUCAUGCGAAAGUAACGAAAUGUUCUUCACCACUAACUCCCGAUGUUAUAUUGUCGGCCGCCAACUUAACCCUCCGCGAAGUUAGGAGCUAUACACUUCAAUCAACUCUAACUUUUUAGAGUUACCAAGAUACCUAAUCAUGAUACUUUCGCUCACAAGUCAAAUAGACCUCGACUCUUACGAGCCUAUUUCCUAUAGUCCAACCGGCCUAAGGUUUACUAGAUCUCCUAAGACUCAACCCUGGGCUCUGAUACCAAAUUAAUCUGUCACAUUCCGGGGCUCAGCGGAAGCCCGCCCGGCACGUGCACAGACCCGCCAUAUGUUUAAAACAUAUAAGACGUCUAAAACAAAACGAUAAAU
rnacentral:lncRNA from 1 species